AUGAAGCCUGACUCGGUGCCUGGUCCGGGCGGGCUUCCGGUUAGGUUCUUCGUAAAGUUUUGGAAAGUCAUAAAAGGAGUGGUAAUGGCUAUUUUCUGGGACUUUUAUAGGGGAGUGCUAGAUAUCUCCCGAUUGACCUAUGGGGUGGUCUCGUUGAUCCCCAAGGUGGUGGGGGCAACGGACAUCCGCCAAUUCCGGCUUAUCACAGUUAUAACCGUGAUCUUCCGCAUCCUUGCCAAGGCAUACGCCAUUAAGGCGACCCUGAUCGUGGCAAGGAUUACCCACCCAAAUCAGACGGCCUUCAUCCCGGGCCGGCUGAUCCAUGAUGGGGUGCUGGCCCUACACGAGAUAGUUCAUGAGAUUAAGACUAGUUGCCAGAAGGCAGUUCUCUUCCAGAUUUGA
rnacentral:rRNA from 1 species